rfam:Leptomonas pyrrhocoris LpyrH10_01, whole genome shotgun sequence.
CGUCCCACCAGCUACCACGCGGAGUAUAUAUACUUUCAGUCUUCGCGGCCGGUCGUUUUCUGGGCCAAGAUGC